UACGAAGGGUGCAAGCGUUACUCGGAAUUACUGGGCGUAAAGCGCGUGUAGGCGGUUGCCCAAGUCGGGUGUGAAAGCCUUGAGCUCAACUCAAGAAAUGCACUCGGUACUGGGUGACUAGAGGACCGGAGAGGAUAGUGGAAUUCCCAGUGUAGUGGUGAAAUACGUAGAGAUUGGGAAGAACACCAGUGGCGAAGGCGGCUAUCUGGACGGUUUCUGACGCUAAGACGCGAAAGCGUGGGGAGCAAACAGG
rnacentral:rRNA from 1 species